AGUUAACAUGGCAGCAACGAUCGAUAGAUUUAGCUGGUACGCGUUCGUGCUGAAAUAUAAGAGGAACGCGUCUGUUACACAUCUGGAUCGACGAUCUUGCCUACCGCUUACAGAACAAAUCGCCACGAAACGAGCAAAGAGAAGGGAGACCGGCAGUGGUCUUCGAACAAAACCAUGAAGUUCUUGGCAUCAUUUCAUUUCAAAAAACUGGCUGGCACCCUUCGAAAAAUACUACCACGCCUAGGAAUACCAAAAGGGGUUGUGCCAGUAGUAAACAGUGACGUGCGAAACUGUUGCAGAAGUGAAGAGAAAAAUGAAGAGCCGGAGAGAAAAGUGUAAAAACCAUUUUUCUCUCCUCUCCCCUAACGAGAAAAAGUCUCGCCAUCCUCUGGGAAUAAAAGUUUUAGGUCGAAACUCAUCGAUCAAUAACGAUCGUAGGACAUCUAUGGUCAGCGGAGCGUGAAAGGAACGUGAAAGAAGACAGAAUGAGAAACGUAAUCCGCUUUUCGAAAGGAUGCAACCCCUUCGACGAGCCGUCGGUCGUGUCACAGCACGGGUGACCGAUUGUAAAACCAUGGAGUAACCCGCAAAGGGUUGCUGGAUCGAGGCGAGAGGGAGACGGACAGUUUAAAAUUGAGCCUCGUAAUCGACGUGUAAUCCUCUAAAGCCGUGACAGCCCGAAGAUAAUGGAACACCGAUCGUCGAUGGGUGGCCAGUUUGUUUUCCAUGGCGGUCGUUACUUAAGCGUUCUCGACAUUCGCGAUACCUGUCGAGAAUUCCAUGCACGUUUGCGUGUCGAUCUACUUACGAGGUAAACUCGAAUCUGUUAUUUGAAUAUAUUUCUAUUCUACGAGAUGAUCUUUUCAUAACACUAUAAACAGUACUAUUAUUCUCUGUAUUGGAGAAUAAAUUAUGAUUAUCGCAAGAUUUUGUUAUUUGACGUGUGACAGUUUGAAAUUUAAAAUUUCGUUUAUUAUAAAUUAAAAGUCGAGGGAUUAUUUCUCCAUUGUUGGAUAAAGUAUAUAUCGUACUCGAUUGUAAACUAAAUUUCAG